GGACGAGCGCACGGGCGUCAUCGUGGAGGAGAGCCUCAUCCACGACUGCACCUUCAUCACCAGCGAGCUCAUCCUCUCCAACAUCCACGUGUCGGCCACGGGCGAGUGGGAAUGCGCCGUGUCCACCUCCCAGGGCAACGUGAGCAAGAAGGUGGAGAUCGUGGUGCUGGAGACCUCGGCAUCCUACUGCCCCGCCGAGCGCGUCACCAACAACCGCGGCGACUUCAGGUGGCCCCGCACGCUGGCGGGCAUCACCGCCUACCAGUCGUGCCUGCAGCACCCGUUCG